UAGUGGUACAAUACCUCAGUCUUUUCAGAUGUUCUACAAAUUCACCUGGAAAUACUGAGGUUGAGUUUCACUG
rnacentral:pre_miRNA from 1 species